rnacentral:rRNA from 1 species
AUUGAACGCUGGCGGCAGGCCUAACACAUGCAAGUCGAGCGGAGCGGCGGACGGGUGCGUAAUGCCUAGGAAUCUGCCUGGUGGUGGGGGAUAACGUUCGGAACCGGGCGCUAAUACCGCAUCCUCUCAGAUGAGCCUAGGUCGGAUUAGGUAGUUGGUGGGGUAAAGGCCAACCAAGGCGACGAUCCGUAACUGGUCUGAGAGGAUGAGCAGCCACACUGGAACUGAGACACGGUCCAGACUCCUACGGGAGGCAGCAGUGGGGAAGAUUGCACAAUGGGCGAAAGCCUGAUCCAGCCAUGCCGCGUGUGUGAAGAAGGUCUUCGGAUUGUAAAGCACUUUAAGUUGGGAGGCGUUACCAACAGAAGAAGCACCGGCUAACUCCGUGCCAGCAGCCGCGGUAAUUC